CAGCAGCCACGGUAAUGCGUAGGGUGCGAGCGUUAAUCGGAAUUACUGGGCGUAAAGCGUGCGUAGGCGGUUUGUUAAGUCUGUUGUGGAGUCCCCGGGCUCAACCUGGGAAUGGCAAUGGAUACUGGCAAGCUAGAGUGUGUCAGAGGAUGGUGGAAUUCCCGGUGUAGCGGUGAAAUGCGUAGAGAUCGGGAGGAACAUCAGUGGCGAAGGCGGCCAUCUGGGACAACACUGACGCUGAGGCACGAAAGCGUGGGGAGCAAACAGGAUUAGAUACCCCAGUAGUCCCUGUCUCUUAUAC
rnacentral:rRNA from 1 species